CUUGAUAACAUUUGAGUAUUUUAUUUGGCAUCUGUCAGACUGGAUUGGUGUUCAUGAAUGUUUUGUCUUGUAGAACCUGACAUUCUGACUAAGAGGCCCACAAGACCAGAACCAUCAGAUGAUCACAGACAGACAGCAGGAAAAAGAGGGACCUACAGAGGAAAAGGGCCAAGGAAGAAGGUUUAACCAGCUGAAGAUUCAGAUGAUCAGGUAGAACUGCUGAGCCAGAGCUCAAAAUAUGCGGAACCAUCGGAGGACAUCAAGAAGAAACAUAAGAUAGAACUGGAUCAGCUUCUUCUCACCAAGCAAGGGGUGAAAAAAGGCCUUGGAGUUCAGCUGAGAAAGCAGCAGUAUGGCGACAGCUUGGAAAGUGCAUAACUUUAGAGACCAUUCCUGGUAAAGUACCAUGCCUUAAGGCACUUAAGACAGAGUCUGAGCUCAAGAGUAGAACCUGGUAAGAUAUUAAAAACCAAGUCUACAACUCUAUCACAGCACAGGAGGAAACGAUUAUAAACUGUUCAUGUUCACAUGAUUGUUUGUGUUUCACAUGCCUCAGUGUUGUUAGGUGGGUGUGACACAAUGAGGCCUAGGUGUGUUGAUGUUAGGCAUGCUUCUAAAAUUUUAUAUAUAUAUAUUAUUUUAUUUGAAACAGAUGUAUGCUCACACUCUGGCUAAAAUGAUAAAAACUACAUCUUAAAGGCACUUUUUCCCCCCAGUUUCUUUUUCAAAAGCAAUUGAAGUUAAAAUAACGAAAGCUGCCAUUUAAAAAGUCCAGUUAUUUAUAGGAUUUAAAAAAUCUUUUUUUUUCUGUUUAAUUAAUAAAAUAAUGCUUUGCAAAGAAAUUGUUUCCUUUUAAUGAAACUGCAUGCAUUAGUCUAAAAUGUAUGUAUGAACUAAAGGUAAAAAUCAGGAAGACUGAUUUAAAUUAUGUACUUGACAAAUAAAAUGUAAUAGAUAAAUGUAAAAAUCCCAGCACUGUAGAUGCUAGACUUGCUAGAAUCAAUCAAUCUAUCUAUCUAUCUAUCUAUCUAUCUAUCUAUCUAUCUAUCUAUCUAUCUAUCUAUCUAUCUAUCUGUCUGAUUCAUUUUUAUCUAACUGUCUGUCAAAUAAAUUAUAUAUUUAUCUAUAUAUCUAUCUAAUAAAUAAUUAGUUUUUAUCUAUCAAACUGUCAAAUAAUAUAUCUAUGUGUUUGUAUGUGUGUGUAUGCAUAUGUAUGUAUGUGUAUUUAUAUAAAUUUGGCAUGAGAUAGUUUGGUUUGAAUAGAAAUUUUGAUGUGAGGAAAAGCGCAAAUCUGCCCGGCAACGGGAGUAUGUCCACACAAUGACUGUAAAUAAAUACAAGCUUUUAGUUUGAGUUUUCCCAUAUUUUAGGUGACAUUCUGAAUCUCUACUCCCACCUAGAGGCAAACAUAAUUUUUUCACCAUUCUGGCUAUAGUGGAAGUCAGGGUCCA